rnacentral:rRNA from 1 species
UACAGGGGGGGCAAGCGUUGUUCGGAAUUACUGGGCGUAAAGGGUCUGUAGGUGGCCAACUAAGUCAGACGUGAAAUCCCUCAGCUUAACUGGGGAACUGCGUCUGAUACUGGAUGGCUCGAGUGUGGGAGAGGAAUGCGGAAUUCCAGGUGUAGCGGUGAAAUGCGUAGAUAUCUGGAGGAACACCGGUGGCGAAGGCGGCAUCCUGGACCGAGAUUGACGCUGAGGCGCGAAAGCCAGGGGAGCAAAGCGGG